rnacentral:rRNA from 1 species
GGACUACUGGGGUUUCUAAUCCUGUUUGAUCCCCACGCUUUCGUGCCUCAGCGUCAAUGUCGGUCCAGAUAGCCGCUUACGCCACUGGUGUUCCUGUCAAUAUCUACGCAUUUCACUGCUACACUGACAAUUCCGCUAUCCUCUCCCGAAUUCGAGCCAUGUAGUUUUAAGAGCAAUUCCAGGGUUGAGCCCUGGGCUUUCACUCCUAACUUUCAUAACCGCCUACGCACGCUUUACGCCCAGUGAUUCCGAACAACGCUCGCCCCCUUCGUAUUACCGCGGCUGCUGGCAC